AACGAACGCUGGCGGCAUGCCUAUCACAUGCAAGUCGAACGAGACCUUCGGGUCUGGUGGCGCACGGGUGCGUAACGCGUGGGAACCUGCCCUUAGGUUCGGAAUAACUCCCCGAAAGGGGUGCUAAUACCGGAUAAUGUCUUCGGACCAAAGAUUUAUCGCCUUUGGAUGGGCCCGCGUUGGAUUAGCUAGUUGGUAGGGUAAAAGCCUACCAAGGCGACGAUCCAUAGCUGGUCUGAGAGGAUGAUCAGCCACACUGGGACUGAGACACGGCCCAGACUCCUACGGGAGGCAGCAGUGGGGAAUAUUGGACAAUGGGCGAAAGCCUGAUCCAGCAAUGCCGCGUGAGUGAUGAAGGCCUUAGGGUUGUAAAGCUCUUUUACCCGGGAUGAUAAUGACAGUACCGGGAGAAUAAGCUCCGGCUAACUCCGUG
rnacentral:rRNA from 1 species